rnacentral:tRNA from 1 species
CAGGGCGGUGGCGAGGUUGCCCGCCCGGGGCCGGAGGGGCCGGCCGAUCCUGUCGUGAUGCGUCAUGUGCUGCCCGUGACUGUCUUGGC